rnacentral:rRNA from 1 species
CGCUAAAAGUACCUGAUUUUUAGUAGUACCUGCCCAGUGCAUAUUAUUUGUCAACGGCCGCCUUAGCGUGAGGGUGCUAAGGUAGCGAAAUUCCUUGCCUUUUAAUUGUAGGCCAGCAUGAAUGGUUUGACGAGGGCCUCACUGUCUCUCAGCUCUAUAUUGAAAUUGCAGUGGAGGUGAAGAUACCUCCAUAAGAAAGUAAGACAAGAAGACCCCGUGCAACUUUGAAAAUUAAGUCAGGUUAAAUGGCAAAAGAUUUUUAGGUGGGGCGCCGAAAGAGGAAAAUAUAACCUCUUUGUUUAAGCUAAUUCUUACUGGAGUUGACCCGACCUAAGUCGAUCAAAGGAGAAGUUACGCCGGGGAUAACAGGCCAAUCCUUUAGUAAAGCUCGUAUUAACUAAAGGGCUUGGCACCUCGAUGUUGAAUCAGGGAUUAUAGCUUCAGGGCGUAGACGCUUUGACUAGUGGGUCUGUUCGACCUUUGAAACCCU